AUGCUACAUUAUGAGAGCUCCAGACCGCACCACAUAUCGCUGCAAGAGUUGAAAGAGAUCACAGAUAACUUCUCCCUCGACCGGAUACUUGGCCAAGGUGGUUUCAGCGUGGUAUACAAGGGAGUGUUGCGGAAUGGGGAAAUGAUCGCCGUGCAGAGGAUCACAUCGUUGCUAAUUCCAGGCCUUCAGAAGCAGUUAGAUCGUGAGGUAUACCAUCUUAUGGUGCUGAAGCACCCAAAUAUUGUGCGGUGCGUAGGCUACUGCUAUGAAACACAGAAUGCAUGCUUGGAUUACAAGGAGAAAUACGUUUUCGCAGAGACAGCAGAGAGGUUACUUUGCUUGGAGUAUAUAUGCCCAAGGGAAGUCUCAACAAGUAUCUGUCGGAUUAAUCUUCUGGACUUGAUUGGAGCACACGCUAAAAUAUAA
rnacentral:rRNA from 1 species